rnacentral:rRNA from 1 species
AUGGAGAGUUUGAUCCUGGCUCAGGAUGAACGCUGGCGGCGUGCCUAAUACAUGCAAGUCGAGCGAACAGACGAGGAGCUUGCUCCUCUGACGUUAGCGGCGGACGGGUGAGUAACACGUGGAUAACCUACCUAUAAGACUGGGAUAACUUCGGGAAACCGGAGCUAAUACCGGAUAAUAUAUUGAACCGCAUGGUUCAAUAGUGAAAGACGGUUUUGCUGUCACUUAUAGAUGGAUCCGCGCCGCAUUAGCUAGUUGGUAAGGUAACGGCUUACCAAGGCAACGAUGCGUAGCCGACCUGAGAGGGUGAUCGGCCACACUGGAACUGAGACACGGUCCAGACUCCUACGGGAGGCAGCAGUAGGGAAUCUUCCGCAAUGGGCGAAAGCCUGACGGAGCAACGCCGCGUGAGUGAUGAAGGUCUUCGGAUCGUAAAACUCUGUUAUUAGGGAAGAACAAAUGUGUAAGUAACUAUGCACGUCUUGACGGUACCUAAUCAGAAAGCCACGGCUAACUACGUGCCAGCAGCCGCGGUAAUACGUAGGUGGCAAGCGUUAUCCGGAAUUAUUGGGCGUAAAGCGCGCGUAGGCGGUUUUUUAAGUCUGAUGUGAAAGCCCACGGCUCAACCGUGGAGGGUCAUUGGAAACUGGAAAACUUGAGUGCAGAAGAGGAAAGUGGAAUUCCAUGUGUAGCGGUGAAAUGCGCAGAGAUAUGGAGGAACACCAGUGGCGAAGGCGACUUUCUGGUCUGUAACUGACGCUGAUGUGCGAAAGCGUGGGGAUCAAACAGGAUUAGAUACCCUGGUAGUCCACGCCGUAAACGAUGAGUGCUAAGUGUUAGGGGGUUU